rnacentral:rRNA from 1 species
GAUGAACGCUGGCGGCGUGCCUAAUACAUGCAAGUCGAGCGAAUGGAUUAAGAGCUUGCUCUUAUGAAGUUAGCGGCGGACGGGUGAGUAACACGUGGGUAGCCUGCCCAUAAGACUGGGAUAACUCCGGGAAACCGGGGCUAAUACCGGAUAACAUUUUGAACCGCAUGGUUCGAAAUUGAAAGGCGGCUUCGGCUGUCACUUAUGGAUGGACCCGCGUCGCAUUAGCUAGUUGGUGAGGUAACGGCUCACCAAGGCAACGAUGCGUAGCCGACCUGGGAGGGUGACCGGCCACACGGGGACUGAGACACGGCCCAGACUCCUACGGGAGGCAGCAGUAGGGAAUCUUCCGCAAUGGACGAAAGUCUGACGGAGCAACGCCGCGUGAGUGAUGAAGGCUUUCGGGUCGUAAAACUCUGUUGUUAGGGAAGAACAAGUGCUAGUUGAAUAAGCUGGCACCUUGACGGUACCUAACCAGAAAGCCACGGCUAACUACGUGCCAGCCGCCGCAGUAA